rnacentral:rRNA from 1 species
UACGUAGGGGGCAAGCGUUGUCCGGACUUACUGGGCGUAAAGCGUGUGCAGGCGGGCGGCUAUGUGCCGUGUGAAAGCUCCCCGCUUAUCGGGGAGAGGUCGCGGUAGACAGGUUGCCUGGAGGCUCGGAGAGGUCAGUGGAAUUCUCGGUGUAGUGGUGAAAUCCGUAGAUAUCGGGAGGAAUACCAGGCGGCGAAGGCCGGCCUUCUGGACGGUGACUGACGCUGAGACGCGAAAGCGUGGGGAGCGAACAGG